GAUGAACGCUGGCGGCGUGCCUAAUACAUGCAAGUCGAGCGAACGGACGAGAAGCUUGCUUCUCUGAUGUUAGCGGCGGACGGGUGAGUAACGCGUGGAUAACCUACCUAUAAUACUGGUAUAACUUCGGGAAACCGGAGAUAAUACCGGAUAAUAUUUUGAACCGCAUGGUUCAAAAGUGAAAGACGGUCUUGCUGUCACUUAUAGAUGGAUCCGCGCUGCAUUGGCUAGUUGGUAAGGUAACGGCUUACCAAGGCAACGAUGCCUAGCCGACGUGAGAGGGUGAUAGGCCACACGGGAGCUGAGACACGGUCCUGACUCCUACGGGAGGGCGCAGUAGGGAAUGGUCCGCAAUGGGCGAAAGUCUGACGGAGCGACGGCGCGUGAGUGAUGAAGGUCUUCGGAUCGUAAAACUCUGUUAUUGGGGAAAAACAGAUGUGGACGGAACCGUGCACUGAGUGACGGUACCUAGUAAGAAAGCAACGGCUAACUACGUG
rnacentral:rRNA from 1 species